GCAGUGGUAGCUCAGUGGUUAAGAUGUUUGACUUCUAACCGGAAGGUCACGAUUUCAAAUCUCAGCGCUGCC